rnacentral:rRNA from 1 species
AUACGGAGGAUCCAAGCGUUAUCCGGAUUUAUGGGUUUAAAGGGAGCGUAGAUUGGAUUUUUAAGUCAGUUGUGAAAGUUCGGGGCUCAACCCCGUAAUUGCAGUUGAUACUGGAUAUCUUGAGUACAGUUGAGGUAGGCGGAAUUCGUGGUGUAGCGGUGAAAUGGCUUAGAUAUCACGAAGAACUCCGAUUGCGAAGGCAGCUUACUAAGCUGUAACUGACAUUGAAGCUCGAAAGUGUGGGUAUC